rnacentral:rRNA from 1 species
UGGGGGAUAUUGCACAAUGGGGGAGCCCUGAUGCAGCGACGCCGCGUGAGCGAAGAAGUAUUUCGGUAUGUAAAGCUCUAUCAGCAGGGAAGAAGACGACGGUACCUGACUAAGAAGCUCCGGCUAAAUACGUGCCAGCAGCCGCGGUAAUACGUAUGGAGCAAGCGUUAUCCGGAUUUACUGGGUGUAAAGGGAGCGUAGGCGGCCUGGCAAGUCUGGUGUGAAAAGGGCCGGGGCCCAAACCCCGGGAGCUGCAUUGGAAACUGCCAGGCUGGAGUGCCGGAGGGGCAGGCGGAAUUCCUAGUGUAGCGGUGAAAUGCGUAGAUAUUAGGAGGAACACCGGUGGCGAAGGCGGCCUGCUGGACGGCAACUGACGCUGAGGCUCGAAAGCGUGGGGAGCAAACAGGAUUAGAUACC